rnacentral:lncRNA from 1 species
ACCUCUCAAAGUGGGGGAAACCACAGAGAAGGAGCACAGGGUUCGUAGACAAUCCACCCUGAGGUGCCAAGCUGCCUGACUCUCAUGCCAGUAGCAGGCUUGGGUUCUUCCUUAAACCGCCAGCAUCCAGCUCCGAGUGAUUCAACUUCUCUAGAAAAUGUGUGCGGUUCCUUGGAUGGCUUGUACGCUUAGAGAAUACCCACCAACAUUCUCACACUGGAGGAGGGAAAUAACAGAGCCACAGACCAGCAAUUGCCUAAGGAACAGAACACUGGAGAACAAACUUAGGAGAGAUGAUAAAAAUUUAAGGACGUGUUCAUGAUGCUGCCUAUUCUAUACACUGCUGAGGGUUAAAUUCAGAUGAAGGCUAGUACUUUAAAGAUCUGGACAGCAGAGACAACUUUUGCUACAAAACUAACUCACCUGGAUAACCACUAGCAGCUGUUAGGCAGGAUCAAUUGAUACUAUUCUACAUCCUUGUCCCACUUCACAGACCUUGUAUGAAACAGGGCUACAGGGAAACAUCUGCCAUUUGAACUGAAGCAACCAAGCAGGAGGCCAGAACCAGGAGGGUGCCUUGAAGGGUUUAAUCCCCAGGGGCAGGGGUGGGAACUAUUUAGAAUGUACCUGCUCUCAGGCUGUGCCUGCAUUGGCAGGGUCUGUGGAGGAGAACCUAGCACAAUCCAAGUCUCCACAGGGACCCAUCAGGCCGUGACCCAGAAAAUCCAUUGAAAUAAUUUUGUAUUAUAUUCCCCUGGAAGGUGGCCAUUUCCCAGGAGCAGCUCUUCCCUGUUCCACCACAGGCCGGUGGGCUGCUAGCUCUGCCUUCAGUGUGGCAUCUAAAGUUACCUGGUGCUUGGGUUGAAUGGAAAGAGCUGGAGUAUGCUGCCAGGUGCAGCCCCAGGAGUUAAUGGGAGGCUUACCCCAGGCAGCAGCUAAUUCAGAAGGCAGAAGAGAAGCCCCAGGAGCUAAACUGAUUGCCCUUCACCCUCCUACCUCUGUGGCCUAGUUUGAGCUAGUAGCCUUUUCUUUAAUUUAGUCUUUUUUAUUAGUAAUUUGAGAAACUCAGGAGGCCCAGAGUUUUCCGGAAGCUUGGUCUGAGAUGGUCACGUGAAAGAUUACCAGAGGCCAGUAUUAACCCUCAAAUGUUGCUGCUCACAAGCUCCAGUUCUUAGCAAAUAAAUCAUGGUGGCUUGCCAACCCCAAAAGAGCCACUCAUCGAUGUAUCACAAAGAGGAGGAAGCAGAAGUCAACACCAUUAAAGAGCAGGGUUUGAGUGCACCCAGGAAGACAUGGAAGGUGGUGGAAAGGUUGUGUUAAUCUGCAUGGGCUUUCCACUGGGGGUCAUUGUGCAAAUGGAAGUUACUGUUCAUCAGCCUUCAAAGGUGUGGCUUUUUGCCAGAUACAACCUUUUGUUCGUUCUCAGACUCUCCCAACUGUAACAAGUCCUUUGCCCAGAGCCGAGCCAGCCAGCAGACCCUAGAAGCACUUAGUUCCAUCUUUAUCCCUCUGAUAAUUAUGGCUGCUGAGACUAGGUCCAGAAGUCACGAAAACAACCAACAACGACCUGCCAGCUUCUGCUCAGCAGAGAAAAAUAGGAAGGGUUUGUGCAGGGCUUUAUUUUCUCAAACGCCUCCACAAGGCAACACCACCUGACAGUCAUUUUCUCACCUUGGUCUUAUGAAAUCAUCUAUUUCUUGUGUGUACAUGUCACGCUGUUUCCUGUUUGUUUACAACCCUAGAAGGGUAGGGUUACCUGUCCCCAUGCCACGGCUGAGCACAUCAGUCACUCUCAGGAGAUGCGUGCUGAGCCAGGGACCUGAAAGGAUGCUGACCAUGGGGGGUUGGGGGGACAAUAGCAAGGAAGGAGACAGGUCCUCUGGUUAGCAGUGGGUCCACACUAACAUGACAGAGUGUUAGGAAACUGGUUUUAAAAUUGUUUUCCAUGAACUGCUGUUAACAAAAUGUGCUGGACAGUCAACACCCCUGCCACAUCUCACUGGGCCAGCGUAGCAAAUCUAGAAGAAGCAGAUACUUUCUGCUGUCAGAAUAAUCCAGAAAAUCAGGAAAGGGUGCUUGAGGCAUGCACAGACACAGUGUUCUAGAAACGGUGUCUAAUGCUGUCCCAGGGAUGAUACAGCAAUGGUUAAAAAGUGUGGUUGGCUCAGCAUUCGUGUGGUCAGGUGUCAGUCAAUGAACAGAAGACACACCAGGUUGUUAAACAGCCUUACUGUGACCCUCCUCAGAAGCCCACAAGUUCCAAAGACUUUUUUUAACCUAAAACAAGAAAUUAACUUAUUAACUCCAAGAGAGUACCUGGGUAUCCUGGGCUAUUUGUACUUUUUUAUAGAGGACUUUAAUAACUCAAUUCUUUUCAAGUGAGUUUUUAAAAUAAUAAAAAUUUCAUAAAUUUCCAAUUCCAUGCAACUUAUAGGAGGAUUUCACCCAGGUUGGAUAGAGCACCCACGAUCUGCAUUCCCACAGCGGGAUUUUCCCGUGCUAGUGAGGUCUGGAGUCCACAUUGGAUUGGCUGGCAUUUCCUAGCAGACACUAAAGAUAGCUGUGCAAGGUUUAGCUAUCGCUCAACUGUGGGGAUGACGGCUUUAUAGCUCCCCUUCCUGAUACAGCCCCCGGAAAGGAUUCUUGGGGAUCUACAGGACCCCACUCUUCACUGUAAGAGUCAGAGCAGGAAGGGGGUGCUUCUUCAACUCUGGCUCAAGUCCCCUCUGGUCUCUCAGUCUCUCGCAUUUGAUUAAAAUGGAGAGAUGCCCUCUAAGGAUUCUGCCCACUGGGCAAUUCAAGCCUCCUACCCCGAGAAGAGACAGCGCUGAGUGUGCCUGGGCAUCUGCGUCCAUGCCCAUGGAUGUGAGUAGACAGAACCCUACUUUUGAGAAAACGCCUAUCCAGCCCACUUUGUAAGAACCCCCUUUUUCUAAACUAUGACAAAAGGCGGCUUUGCACUUUCUGAUCAAACAACACUGUCUUUUGUCUCCUGCUUAACUUUUAAGACUAUUCUGUGACCGACGUUUGUAGAUUUUUUUUUUUGUUAAUAUUUUGCCUGGAAAAAUGUGACUCUCUCCUUGGGAGGUUUAGUAGACUAAUAAAAAUUAUACAUGAAGGUGGUUGCUAUUUUGAGGCUAAAGGUUUUUCUAAGAAUCGCCCUCGUAUCCUGACCGUGAAGGCUUUUCAGGAUACCUUUUAUAGACGAUCAGAUGCAUUCGAGCUGUGUUUCCUACAUGAUUUCUGUUUUGUUUUAUGAAGGACACGCCAUGUUUAAAUCUCUCAUUGGAAAAAAAAAAAAAAAACACCAUGCAAAACCCCAAAUUGGUUUGGAGGAAGGAGUGAAGGUGGAGGCUGUUGCCCGAAUGGGCCUUUACUGAUGAGCCAGGGGCUGAUCCACUGCUCGUUUGGUUACUGGGCAGGUGAGGUAGACAUGUAAAUUACUGCCUAGCUUUCUUGGAUUUGUGUAACCUCUACUCUCCGUUUGCAUGAUCCGCUCUGUUAGAUGCAUUCAUUGUAGUUCGGAAGCAAGCGUGUAUGAAUAAAGAUACUGAUCACUGCU